rnacentral:rRNA from 1 species
UACGAAGGGGGCUAGCGUUGUUCGGAAUCACUGGGCGUAAAGCGCACGCAGGCGGAUUGAUAAGUCAGGGGUGAAAUCCCGGGGCUCAACCUCGGAAUUGCCUUUGAUACUGUCUGUCUUGAGUCCGGGAGAGGUGAGUGGAAUUCCUAGUGUAGAGGUGAAAUUCGUAGAUAUUAGGAAGAACACCAGUGGCGAAGGCGGCUCACUGGCCCGGUACUGACGCUCAUGUGCGAAAGCGUGGGUAGCAAACGGG